rnacentral:rRNA from 1 species
AUUGAACGCUGGCGGCAUGCUUUACACAUGCAAGUCGAACGGUAACAGGCCGCCAGGUGCUGCCGAGUGGCGAACGGGUGCGUAAUGCAUCGGAACGUGCCCAGUCGUGGGGGAUAACUACUCGAAAGAGUAGCUAAUACCGCAUACGAUCUAUGGAUGAAAGCGGGGGACCGUAAGGCCUCGCGCGAUUGGAGCGGCCGAUGUCAGAUUAGGUAGUUGGUGGGGUAAAGGCUCACCAAGCCAACGAUCUGUAGCUGGUCUGAGAGGACGACCAGCCACACUGGGACUGAGACACGGCCCAGACUCCUACGGGAGGCAGCAGUGGGGAAUUUUGGACAAUGGGCGCAAGCCUGAUCCAGCAAUGCCGCGUGCAGGAAGAAGGCCUUCGGGUUGUAAACUGCUUUUGUACGGAACGAAACGGCUCUGGUUAAUACCCGGGGCUAAUGACGGUACCGUAAGAAUAAGCACCGGCUAACUACGUG